AGAACGAACGCUGGCGGCAUGCCUAACACAUGCAAGUCGAACGAAUGCCCUUCGGGGUGUUAGUGGCGCACGGGUGCGUAACGCGUGGGAAUCUGCCCCUUGGUACGGGAUAACAGCGGGAAACUGCUGCUAAUACCGUAUGAUAUCGCGAGAUCAAAGAUUUAUCGCCAAGGGAUGAGCCCGCGUAGGAUUAGCUAGUUGGUGGGGUAAAGGCCUACCAAGGCGACGAUCCUUAGCUGGUCUGAGAGGAUGAUCAGCCACACUGGGACUGAGACACGGCCCAGACUCCUACGGGAGGCAGCAGUGGGGAAUAUUGGACAAUGGGCGAAAGCCUGAUCCAGCAAUGCCGCGUGAGUGAUGAAGGCCUUAGGGUUGUAAAGCUCUUUACCCGGGAGAUAAUGACUGUACCGGGAGAAUAAGCCCCGGCUAACUCCGUGCCAGCAGCCGC
rnacentral:rRNA from 1 species